AUGGGUCGGCAGAAAAUUUGGAGGGAUAGGAUCGAUGCCCACAAUAGAUUGAUUAGGAACUAUUUUGUGGAUAAUCCCAUGUACCCUGAGUCGUACUUCCGGUGCCAGUUUAGGAUGAGCACCGAGUUGUUCAGACGCAUUGCAGAGAAACUAGCGAGCCAUGACCGGUUUUUUCAGCAAAGGAGGAAUGCCGCCGGAGAGCUCGGGCAUAGCACCUUUCAAAAGGUGACAGCCGCUUUGCGUAUGUUGGCAUACGGUAUUCCCGCUGAUCUAGUUGAUGACCACUUGGCCAUGGGUGAGAGUCAAGCCAUCAUUGUGCAAGUGUUUUGCCAGGAGUAUUUGAGAUCUCCCAAUGCUGAAGACGCCGCAAGGCUAUUGGAGAUGAACAAAGCUCGCAACAUCCCAGGUAUGCUUGGCUCAAUAGAUUGCAUUCAUUGGAGUUGGAAGAAUUGUCCUAAGGCAUGGCAUGGGCAAUUCCACGGCCAAAAAUAG
rnacentral:rRNA from 1 species